CAGGACAUUCUCUUGAAGUUGGAGGUUCAAUCACGGCAUUCUCUUGAAGUUGGAAGUUCAAUCACCAGGAAAAAAAAUCAUGAACAAGGAAAGAAGAAUGAGAGCAUUUUUGCCAUGUGUUUUUCUAUGGAAAAGUUUCCAGUGUACUAUGGAUUGGAGGUUUCAAAACUUGAGUGUCUGAAUGUACCACAGCUAACUGACAAGACAAUGUUUUUUCUAUGGUUCCCAUACAGCUUGCCAUGUUUGAAUGUUUUUCAAACACUAUUAGUGAUAUUUCUAUUUAUGAACUUCUUGUCUUUUUAUUUGUACCAGACAAUGUUUUUCUAUAAGAUGGUUUAUGAA